GACGAACGCUGGCGGCGUGCCUAAUACAUGCAAGUCGAACGCAGUGGGGACGGGUGCGUAACACGUGGGUAAUCUCCCAUCAGAGGGGAUAACACUUGGAAACAGGUGCUAAACCGAUACUGCUGGAUGAACCCGCGGGGGAUUAGCUAGUUGGUGAGGUAACGGCUCACCAAGGCCACGAUGCAUAGCGGGCCUGCGAGGGUGAUCGGUCAGACGGUGACUGGGACACGGCCGAGCGUCCUACGGACGGCAGCAGGGGGGAAUCUUCGGCAAUGGACGAAAGGCUGACCGAGCGACGCCGCGUGAUUGAAGAGGGGUUUAGGAUCGUAAAACUCUUUAGUUAGAGAAGCGGUAGCUAACCAGAAAGCCACGGCUAACUACGUGCCAGCAGCCGCGGUAAUAC
rnacentral:rRNA from 1 species